GAUGAACGCUAGCGGCGGGCCUAAUACAUGCAAGUCGAACGGUGCAGCAAUGCAUAGUGGCAGACGGGUGCGUAACGCGUAUGCAACCUACCUUUUAUCGGGGGACAACAUUUCGAAAGAAGUGCUAAUACCGCGUAAGAUAGUAGUGGGACAUCCCACAGCUAUUAAACUUUCGGGGAUAGAAGAUGGGCAUGCGUCUGAUUAGCUAGUUGGCGGGUAACGGCCCACCAAGGCGACGAUCAGUAGGGGAACUGAGAGGUUGAUCCCCCACACUGGCACUGAGAUACGGGCCAGACUCCUACGGGAGGCAGCAGUAGGGAAUAUUGGGCAAUGGACGGAAGUCUGACCCAGCCACGCCGCGUGCAGGAGGAAGGCGCUCUGCGUUGUAAACUGCUUUAGCAGGGGAAGAAAAGACUCAUGCGUGAGGAAUUGACGGUACCCUGAGAAUAAGCACCGGCUAACUACGUGCCAGCAGCCGCGGUAA
rnacentral:rRNA from 1 species